rnacentral:rRNA from 1 species
GACGAACGCUGGCGGCGUGCCUAAUACAUGCCAGUUGAGCGCUGAAGGUUGGUACUUGUACCAACUGGAUGAGCAGCGAACGGGUGAGUAACGCGUGGGGAAUCUGCCUUUGAGCGGGGGACAACAUUUGGAAACGAAUGCUAAUACCGCAUAAAAACUUUAAACACAAGUUUUAAGUUUGAAAGAUGCAAUUGCAUCACUCAAAGAUGAUCCCGCGUUGUAUUAGCUAGUUGGUGAGGUAAAGGCUCACCAAGGCGAUGAUACAUAGCCGACCUGAGAGGGUGAUCGGCCACAGUGGGACUGAGACACGGCCCAAACUCCUACGGGAGGCAGCAGUAGGGAAUCUUCGGCAAUGGACGAAAGUCUGACCGAGCAACGCCGCGGGAGUGAAGAAGGUUUUCGGAUCGUAAAACUCUGUUGGUAGAGAAGAACGUUGGUGAGAGUGGAAAGCUCAUCAAGUGACGGUAACUACCCAGAAAGGGACGGCUAACUACGUG